rnacentral:rRNA from 1 species
UACGAAGGGUGCAAGCGUUACUCGGAAUUACUGGGCGUAAAGCGUGCGUAGGUGGUGAGUUAAGUCUGUCGUGAAAGCCCCGGGCUCAACCUGGGAAUGGCGAUGGAUACUGGCUCGCUAGAGUGCGGUAGAGGAGAGUGGAAUUCCAGGUGUAGCGGUGAAAUGCGUAGAUAUCUGGAGGAACACCGGUGGCGAAGGCGGCAUCCUGGACCGACACUGACACUGAGGAGCGAAAGCCAGGGGAGCAAACGGG